AUUAAGAAACUGAGGCUCAGAGAGGUCAAGCUACUUUCCCAAGGUCACACAGCCAGCAAGUGAAGGAGCCAAGGUACAAAUGCAGACUUCUUGACUUCUCAGAUGCUGCUAACUCCUAUGGUAAACUAUGAGGAGCCAACCUAGGAGAAAAGAAGAAAACACAGUAGAAUGAUUUCACAGAAUGAGCUUAGAUUAUAGAAUCUCUGAAUCCACCUAUGACUUGUAAGCCCUUGCUUCAAGAUAUCCCACCUUUUCGGGCUGAACCAAUAUAUACUUUCCAGACUUCUGGUUUCUGCUAAGACUACUAUUAGACCCUACAGGAAGUGGAAUCUCAGAGCUCAUUGCAAAUCAAGCAACAGAUAUUAUUUGCAAGAUCCCCAAAGUGCAUUGCAAGAUCUUGCUAGGUUAAUGACAACUGUAAAUGUAAAAAGCAAUCUUUGAUCUGUGCUGUACUCUACCUCAGACUUGCUAUCAGCUGAAGCCUGGCCUCCAAGAAGAGCUGCUCCAUUUCUAUCUGGAGAAGGGAUGAGGGCAUUGAAGAGUCAUGGAAGGCAGCUGUGACAGGCUACUUUAAAG